rnacentral:rRNA from 1 species
GAUCAUGGCUCAGGACGAACGCUGGCGGCGUGCCUAAUACAUGCAAGUCGAACGAACCGCGACUGAGUGCUUGCACUUGGUCAAGGUGAGUGGCGAACGGGUGAGUAACACGUGGGUAACCUACCUCAUAGUGGGGGAUAACAGUCGGAAACGACUGCUAAUACCGCAUAGGACAUGGAAUCACAUGAUUCCGUGAGGAAAGGUGGCGCAAGCUAUCGCUAAGAGAUGGACCCG